rnacentral:lncRNA from 1 species
CUUCUUCCAUGUAUUGACUGAUUAGGUCAAGCUCACACUUAACACUGAGUGAAUGAACUGAGGUGGCAUACUGGGGACACGGACUGUGCCCAGCCAGGAAUGACCUCUUCAGGCCUCCAAUUCUGGCUCAGAGCAGCAGAGACCAAUUUUGUCAAGGCCUCAAUCUGGACAAGGGCUCACACAACCCAACCCAGCCUUCAUGCCCUGCCUAGACGAUGAAGGGACCGUUCUCCCUUUGGCUUCUGGCCCCUACUCAGCACGGCACAUCCCCCAUGCCAUAAGGGAACUCACUCACGUGAUGCAAUUACCAGGAUGAGAGCUUGAAAGCAGACUACCGUCUGGAUUCUUGCUCAGCCUCAUCUCUGCCAGGGCAUCCUCUGAAAUGCUCCCAGCCUUUGGCAAGAGAAGGAAGGAGGCCAAAACCAGUCCCUGAGUCAGAGGCAGACCCCCUUCAUCUCCUCAAUGAAGAACCUGGAAUUGAUGGUGUUGACAUGAGGUCCUGCAGGACACUGCCCUCUGCCCACUUGGGCUCCCAGCCAUGCCCAGAAGGCUCCAUGAUGUCAGCUGCAAAACAGUCAACAAUCUCAUGUACCCACCCCUAAACACUGAGACCCUAAAGUGACUCUUGUAAUCCAAGAGAUGAGUUUUGGCCCCAAUCUAGGCCAAUAUCCGCCGACUUUCCCCUGAGUCCCCUGAACAGACUUCGAGGAGGGCUUUCUCUUGAUCAGCUCUCCCCAGAUCCUCACAACCUCCAGGACCCUCCGUUUGAAAGCGGAGCCCAUUGUCCUGGUUCUCUCCCCUCUUGAUUGUUACUGAUGGUGGGGACUUGUUCGGACACCUCUGGAAACACAAUCAUAAUCAGAGCAUCUUGCAUGUUCUGACUGUUGGUUCGCGCUCAUGCUUAACACUGAGUGAAUCAACUGAGGUGAUAUACUGGGGACGCGGACUGUGCCAAGCCAGGAAUGACCUCUUCAGGCCUCAGAUUCUGGUUCAGAGCAGCAGAGACCAAUUUCGUCAAGGCCUUCAUCUGGACAAGGGCUCACAUGACCCAACCCAGCCUGUGUGGCCCUCCCAGACCGUGAAGGGACAGUCCUCCCGGCUGCUUCUGACCCCUACUCAGCGGGGGCAAGUCCUCUUCGCCCACGUACCCCUACAUGCCACAAGGGUUCUCGCCAGAGUCCUGCCCUCAACCAUAAUGAAUGGAGGAAUGAACACGGCCGAGAUCCUGGCUUCUUGCUCAGCCUCAUCUCUGCCAGUGUGUCAUUUCUGCAAUGGGUGGAGCUUCUGCAGAGAGAAGGUGGUGGGCCAAAGGCAGAGCCCCAGCCCCAUCCCGAUCCCCAGAGGGACCUCAGAAUUGUUGGUUUUUCCACGGGCCGCCUCCGGGACAAUGACUUUUGCUCAGCUGGUACCCUGAAGCAUCCCCUCCAAUCUCCGUGAUGUCUGUUUCAAACUACAAAAUGCUGGACUUGGCUGCCCCCCCCCCUCUAUUUACCAAGAAAGUUCUAGCGGAUGGCAUUCCACACAUCUCUCUACCAAACCUAGACUGUUGCCCUUCGGGGAUGGCCACAGAAGCUGAAAUACACUCCAGAGCUCUGUUUGCUUCAGGGGGUGGGGGCCACAUUCAGAGCCCAUCUUUCCUCCUCCAAGCCAGACCGGGAUUCCAGCAUCGGGAUCCCACUUUCCCCUGCUUCUUCAGUUGUGGAAAGGCUGGAGGUGAGUGAGGAGCCAUGGGGUGUGGGA